AUGCCAAACCGGAAACGUCGCCCAGAGGCGUCUUCCAAUUUGUCUGGCGGUUCAUCAACCACACAACUACCUCCCCUGAAAACCCUCCCUGGUGCCAAAGCUCGCCUGAGCAAGAAGGCUAAAACCAGUAACCCCAUUGGAGAAGUUGAACCGGAGAGGGCUGCUGAGGACACCGGUAGAAAUACCGAUGUUAUGGAUGAUUCCAUCCCGCAAGGUGCAAACACUGAAACUAAUCCGCCAGAGGCUGACCCGGCAAUCCAUACUAAACCGCCAAGUCCUCGUACUACACCUCCACCAAGUCCGGCCGCUGAUCCGCCAAGCCCGGCUGCUAACCCGCCAAAUCUAGCCAGGGGUGCCAGUAAUCCACCGAGCCCACCAAGAAAUGAUGAUGAUGAUGUUGUAAUUACUGGCACGGGUCACACCAGCCCUGGCAAUCCGGUUAUCUUGGACAAGCAUACUGCUAAAGAGGAAUUUGCCACUAUGGGCAAGGGGAAGGAGAAGACGGAUUUAUCCCACUAUGUCAAUCUUAGCGCUGAAGAACUUCAUUCCGGUUUUUUAAACCGCCUCUACACCAGCUGUGACUUGGAAGCCGGCUUGGUAAACCUGAUGAAGGAGCAUUAUGAGGAUGACAUGAAGACCAAGGAGUCCCAAACCGCCGAUCUCCAAGAAAUCCUCAAGCUACAGCAAGAAGAAACCUCUAAAGCCAAAGAAGAGCUCAAGGGUGCCUUGGCAACCAUGGAAAAACUUAAAGAGGGCUUCAAAACAGACCGCACCAACUGGGAAACUAAAAGGGUUGUUUUAUUAAAGCGGGCAGAAGAUGCUGAAGCAGCCCUUAAACCGGUGGAAGAAGAGCUGACGGGUCUGAAGCAUCAAGUGAACUCCAUGAUGGCUGUCGUGUUUGGCCAUCGCAUUGCUCAUCUUGGAACAGAUAUGCGGAUGAAAUUGAAGGCGUCUUAUACACUGAUUGAACAACUGUACAUCGGUGAACAACGGUUUACCUCUACAGUCUCUUAUAACAAACUGGCACCAACACUGAUCAAAGACACAUUAGCAGGAUUAUCCAUGACACCAGCUCAGAUAGAAGAGAGGAAGCGGUCUGCUGCUAGGGCUGGCGUUUUACUGGCACUGACCCAGGCCAAAGCAUGGAUAUCCGACUUGGAUCCGGUUGACAUUGCCAAGGGAUUCCCAGAUGAACAGGCAGACGGAUCAGCAUUUGAUAAUGACACACUUAAAGCUCUGACAAAAGAGAUGCGUCCACUCUCCAGUCAAACUGGCUGCAGAAGCUAA
rnacentral:rRNA from 1 species